rnacentral:lncRNA from 1 species
AGUUAUCUGGUGAUAGUAUAGUGUUCUGUCAUCUACACUACUAUAACAGGUCAGUUAUCUGGUGAUAGUGUUCUGACAUCUACACUACUAUAACAGGUUAGUUAUCUGGUGAUAGUAUAGUGUUCUGACAUCUACACUACUAUAACAGGUCAGUUAUCUGGUGAUAGUAUAGUGUUCUGACAUCUACACUACUAUAACAGGUCAGUUAUCUGGUGAUAGUAUAGUGUUCUGACAUCUACACUACUAUAACAGGUCAGUUAUCUGGUGAUAGUAUAGUGUUCUGACAUCUACACUACUAUAACAGGUCAGUUAUCUGGUGAUAGUAUAGUGUUCUGACAUCUACACUACUAUAACAGGUCAGUUAUCUGGUGAUAGUAUAGUGUUCUGACAUCUACACUUCUAUAACAGGUCAGUAAUCUGGUGAUAGUAUAGUGUUCUGAUAUCUACACUACUAUAACAGGUCAGUUAUCUGGUGAUAGUAUAGUGUUCUGACAUCUACACUACUAUAACAGGUCAGUUAUCUGGUGAUAGUAUAGUGUGCUGACAUCUACACUACUAUAACAGGUCAGUUAUCUAGUGAUAGUAUAAUCAACUGCCCUACAGUUAGAAUAGGAUGUUUGUCCCUAAUACUGGAAUUGGAGAUAGCUACACACCUGAUUCUACUAAUCAACCAGUCACAAUCCAAAUCAGUUAACUUAAUGCAUAGUCACUGUUUUCUACCAGAAGUGUUCUAUUACCAGUGGUCUAUUACCAGUGUUGUAUUACUAGUGUUGUAUUGCCAGUGUGUCAUGAGAAUUUUAAAUCCAAAUGAUAAUAACUAACAAUCAAUAAGCUUUGACUAAUCUCCAAGGUUUGUAAGAUACUGGGUUAAUAAUAAUUAGUCAAAGACUCAGCUUCUGCAAAAGGUUCGUACAGUUUAUUCAGAGAACGUUCUGAAGUCCAUUAUACAAAGACAUUCAUUUUAUAACUUGCUUCUUCCUUACGCACAUACAUCCACACAAACAGUAGGUGGGAUGUAUCCCUCCCCAGAGUUCUCACCACUGUUUAUCACUACCCAGCGCUGUCCGUUCCAUUCCCCAGAGAUUAGAGGAACCUUGAGAAGUACUCCCUGUCCUAUCAUAAGUUUAGUUCUAGCCAGGUUGAGCCAAACAAUCUCUAUUGUUCUCUGUAUUUUCUUAGGCACACACAUACACACAUACAUUUCUCUUCCUCACAGGUCUCUACUAAACCUUAUGGGUCCCUUAUCACAGUGUUGUACUACCAGUGUUGUAUUGCUAGUGUUGUAUUACUAGUGUUGUAUUACCAGUGUUCUUUUACCAGUGUUCUAUUACCAGUGUUCUAUCACCAGUGUUCUAUUACCAGUAUUGUAUUACCGGUGUUAUAUUACUAGUGUUCUAUUACCAGUGUUGCACUUCCAGUGUUGUACUACCAGUGUUGUAUUACUAGUAUUGUAUUACUAGUAUUGUAUUACCAGUGUUGUAUUACCAGUGUUGUAUUGCCAGUGUUGUAUUGCCAGUGUUGUAUUGCCAGUGUUGCAUUGCCGGUGUUAUAUUGCCGGUGUUGUAUUACCGGUGUUGUAUUACCGGUGUUGUAUUACCGGUGUUGUAUUACCAGUGUUCUAUUACCAGUUUUCUAUUACCAGUGUAAUAUUACCAGUGUUAUAUUACCAGUGUUGUAUUACCAAUGUUGUAUUACUAGUGUUGUAUUGCCAGUGUUGUAUUGCCAGUGUUGUAUUGCCAGUGUUGUAUUACUAGUGUUCUAUGACCAGUGUUGUAUUACAAAUGUUGUAUUACCAAUGUUGUAUUACCAAUGUUGUAUUACCAGUGUUGUAUUACCAGUGUUGUAUUGCCAGUGUUAUAUUACUAGUUUUCUAUUACCAGUGUUGUAUUGCCAGUGUUAUAUUACUAGUUUUCUAUUACCAGUGUUGUAUGACCAGUGUUCUACUACUAGUGUUCUAUGACCAAUGUUGUAUUACUAGUGUUCUAUGACCAG